UUUUGUUGGAGAGUUUGAUCCUGGCUCAGGACGAACGCUGGCGGCGUGCUUAACACAUGCAAGUCGAGCGGAAAGGCCCUUCGGGGUACUCGAGCGGCGAACGGGUGAGUAACACGUGAGCAACCUGCCCUAGGCUUUGGGAUAACCCUCGGAAACGGGGGCUAAUACCGAAUAGGACCACCGGUCGCAUGUUUGGUGGUGGAAAGUUUUUCGGCCUGGGAUGGGCUCGCGGCCUAUCAGCUUGUUGGUGGGGUGAUGGCCUACCAAGGCGACGACGGGUAGCCGGC
rnacentral:rRNA from 1 species